rnacentral:lncRNA from 1 species
UGGCCUCUGUCAGUUCUGUCAGUCUUAGUGCUUAAUGAGCACAAAUGUGAAUGAAUGAGAGAGAGAACUCUGAGUUUUGAAUGCAUGUGCCUGAUAUAGUGCUUGGUCUCAAGAUACAAACUUGAGUAAGACUUGGUCCUUACCUCCUAGGAUCUCACAGGCUAGUGAGGAAGACAGAUCAAUAAAUCCAAGAAGAAGAGGCUGGGUGUGGUGGCUCACACCUAUAAUCCCAGCACUUUGAGAGGCUGAGGUGGGUGGAUCACUUGAGCUCAGGCGUUUGAGACCAGCCUGGGCAACAUGGUAAAAC